UACGAAGGGGGCUAGCGUUGUUCGGAAUUACUGGGCGUAAAGCGCGCGCAGGCGGUUCUCCAAGUCAGUGGUGAAAGCCCGGAGCUCAACUCCGGAAUUGCCAUUGAAACUGUUGAACUUGAGGACGAGAGAGGUGAGUGGAAUUCCCAGUGUAGAGGUGAAAUUCGUAGAUAUUGGGAAGAACACCGGUGGCGAAGGCGGCUCACUGGCUCGUUUCUGACGCUCAGGCACGAAAGCGUGGGGAGCAAACAGG
rnacentral:rRNA from 1 species